rnacentral:lncRNA from 1 species
GGAGCUGACGGUGCCUCGACCGCAUUAACCAACCUGGUAAAUUCCGGAGCAGCAGUAUGGAACUUGAAGACCGCGUAAGAUCCGAAAGAAAACGUGGACAUGACAUUGAUCGUAGCUUCUUCCCUCUCACAGAGGCUUCUGAACCUCGACCAGGAUGCCUUCUUGAUAAUCGUCCUCCAGCCCUCGCGCCCCGCCACCGUAAUUCGCCUCCACCCCUGGCGCCACGCCCCCAUUGUCCUCUAACUCAGUGCGGCU